rnacentral:rRNA from 1 species
CCUACGGGGAGCAGCAGUGGGGAAUCUUCCGCAAUGGGCGCAAGCCUGACGGAGCACUGCCGCGUGAACGAAGAAGGUCUUCGGAUUGUAACGUUCUGUCCUUAUCGAAGAGAGGGUGUAGAGUGAAAAAUGAUAUACUAGGACGGAAGAUGAGGAGGAAGCCCCGGCUAACUACGUGCCAGCAGCAGCGGUACUACGUAGGGGGCGGGCGUUGUCCGGAAUCACUGGGCGUAAAGGGAGCGUAGGCGGGAAUAUAAGUCAGUUGUGAAAGGUGGGGGCUCAACCCCUAGAGUGCAACUGAUACUGUAUAACUUGAGUGUGAGAGAGGGAAGCGGAAUUCCUAGUGUAGCGGUGAAAUGCGUAGAUAUUAGGAGGAACACCAGUGGCGAAGGCGGCUUUCUGGCUCAUAACUGACGCUGAGGCGCGAAAGCGUGGGGAGCAAACAGGAUUAGAUACCCGUGUAGUC